CCUACGGGGGACAGCAGUCGAGAAUUAUUCACAAUGGGGGAAACCCUGAUGGUGCGACGCCGCGUGGGGGAAUGAAGGUCUUCGGAUUGUAAACCCCUGUCAUGUGGGAGCAAAUUAAAAAGAUAGUACCACAAGAGGAAGAGACGGCUAACUUUGUGCCAGCAGCCGCGGUAAUACAGAGGUCUCAAGCGUUGUUCGGAAUCACUGGGCGUAAAGAGUGCGUAGGCUGUUUCAGAAGUCGUUUGUGAAAGGGGCGGGCUCAACCCGAGGAGGGCACAAGAUACUGCGAAACUAGAGUAAUAGAGGGGGAACCGGAAUUCUCGGUGUAGCAGUAAAAUGCGUAAAUAUCGGGAAGAACACUAGUGGCGAAGGCGGGUUCCUGGGCAUUAACUGACACUGAGGCACGAAGGCCAGGGGAGCGAAAGGGAUUAGAUACCCCAGUAGUC
rnacentral:rRNA from 1 species